rnacentral:rRNA from 1 species
AGGACGAACGCUAGCGGCGUGCCUAAGGUAUGCAAGUCGAACGGCCCGCAAUGUCAGUGGCGGACGGGUGAGUAUCGCGUAGGAAUAUGUCCGGAGGUGGGGGACAACCCUGGGAAACUGGGGCUAAUACCGCAUAUGAGCUGAGGCUCAAAGCAGUGAUGCGCCUUUGGAGUAGCCUGCGUCCGAUUAGCUUGGUUGGUGGGUAAAGGCCUACCAAGGCGACGAUCGGUAGCUGGUCUGAGAGGACGACCAGCCACACUGGGACUGAGACACGGCCCAGACUCCUACGGGAGGCA